UCCCGCUGACUUGGACUGGACUCUUAAUCUGGUAAACUAAAGAGGAUCUGGCCAAGAUAUACAAAAAAAUGUCUUGCCAUUUAAUGCAAUGCAGGGAAGAGUACUGAGGAAAUGUAAAGAUACAGACAAGACCAGAUUCAAAGCAGUGAUUUAAAUGUUGAUGUAAAUUACACAUUGUGGUGAAAUCCUGGGCCUACUGAAGUCAAUGGGAAUUUUGCAGAAAACAGAGAUGGAGAUCGACCAUCGCUUAAUAAACUGAAACUUUAUUGGACCUGUCCAUGAACUUUGUGUCCAAGUCUCUUUACCAGAAAUACUCUGCUAGAGGAUCGUUCAUUGAAAACAAGAGACGAAACGCUCCAACGACUGUCACUGGGGGUAAGAAGGAACUGGAGAGGUGGCGGGUUGGCAGGACGCUAUAUGCGGCGCCAUGAAGUCGUGACUCCAAGGGGCUCCAGAGCCGACCCAACAGAUGCUGCUAGGGGAAUAACCUUCCAGCGAACUGUGCAUGCGGCGCGCACACACCUAAUUGGAAUUGAUAUAAGCAAGCACUCAAAGAAGAACAGAUAAUUAACAAGUAUUCUCUAGUAGUAGUGGGGAUUAAAGGGAAGUGCAGUUUAUAGAGUAUUUCCCAAAACCCCAAACCCCAUCCCCCAACAUGCUAUAAAAACUGUUGCUGAAUUUAAGCCCUGGCCUAAGCCCAGGAACACUCAAGAUCAAAAAGACUAUAAGCAGUUUUAUAAGAGACUCUCUCUCUCUUUCUUUGUCUCUCAAGAGAGGGAGUUGUUAGGGUGAACAAAACUAAGACACAGGUAUUCACUGGGGUAUCUGAGGAAGCUAGGCCUGCCUAGGCUACUAUCAGGGGAUGGGUAAGCCAUUAGGUAAAACAGACCUGUGUAGAUUGUUUGUUGUUUAAAAAUCCUUUAUCCUCUAAUGCUUUGCUCCUACAGUUAAAAUAAACAAUACUCUGUUUUUUAAAA